rnacentral:rRNA from 1 species
GCCGCGAUAAUUUGAUCGUGCAAAGGUAGCAUAAUAAUUAGUUUUUUAAUUGGGAACUGGAAUGAAAGGUCGAACGAGAAAAAGACUGUCUCAAUUUAAGUUUAAUUAGAAUUUUAUUUUUAAGUUAAAAAGCUUAAAUAUUUUUAAAAGACGAGAAGACCCUAUAGAGUUUUAUAUUUUAGUAAUUUUUUAUUUAGUUUAAGAAUUUAAUUUUAGAAUUAAUUAUAAAAUAUUUGGUUGGGGUGAUUAAAAAAUUAAAUAAACUUUUUUUAUUUAUUAAACAUUGAUUUAUGAUUAAGUGAUCCAUUAUUAAUGAUUAUAAGAUUAAAUUACCUUAGGGUUAA